GCUCAGGACGAACGCUGGCGGCGUGCCUAAUACAUGCAAGUCGAACGAACUCUGGUAUUGAUUGGUGCUUGCAUCAUGAUUUACAUUUGAGUGAGUGGCGAACUGGUGAGUAACACGUGGGAAACCUGCCCAGAAGCGGGGGAUAACACCUGGAAACAGAUGCUAAUACCGCAUAACAACUUGGACCGCAUGGUCCGAGUUUGAAAGAUGGCUUCGGCUAUCACUUUUGGAUGGUCCCGCGGCGUAUUAGCUAGAUGGUGGGGUAACGGCUCACCAUGGCAAUGAUACGUAGCCGACCUGAGAGGGUAAUCGGCCACAUUGGGACUGAGACACGGCCCAAACUCCUACGGGAGGCAGCAGUAGGGAAUCUUCCACAAUGGACGAAAGUCUGAUGGAGCAACGCCGCGUGAGUGAAGAAGGGUUUCGGCUCGUAAAACUCUGUUGUUAAAGAAGAACAUAUCUGAGAGUAACUGUUCAGGUAUUGACGGUAUUUAACCAGAAAGCCACGGCUAACUACGUGCCAGCAGCCGCGGUAAUACGUAGGUGGCAAGCGUUGUCCGGAUUUAUUGGGCGUAAAGCGAGCGCAGGCGGUUUUUUAAGUCUGAUGUGAAAGCCUUCGGCUCAACCGAAGAAGUGCAUCGGAAACUGGGAAACUUGAGUGCAGAAGAGGACAGUGGAACUCCAUGUGUAGCGGUGAAAUGCGUAGAUAUAUGGAAGAACACCAGUGGCGAAGGCGGCUGUCUGGUCUGUAACUGACGCUGAGGCUCGAAAGUAUGGGUAGCAAACAGGAUUAGAUACCCUGGUAGUCCAUACCGUAAACGAUGAAUGCUAAGUGUUGGAGGGUUUCCGCCCUUCAGUGCUGCAGCUAACGCAUUAAGCAUUCCGCCUGGGGAGUACGGCCGCAAGGCUGAAACUCAAAGGAAUUGACGGGGGCCCGCACAAGCGGUGGAGCAUGUGGUUUAAUUCGAAGCUACGCGAAGAACCUUACCAGGUCUUGACAUACUAUGCAAAUCUAAGAGAUUAGACGUUCCCUUCGGGGACAUGGAUACAGGUGGUGCAUGGUUGUCGUCAGCUCGUGUCGUGAGAUGUUGGGUUAAGUCCCGCAACGAGCGCAACCCUUAUUAUCAGUUGCCAGCAUUAAGUUGGGCACUCUGGUGAGACUGCCGGUGACAAACCGGAGGAAGGUGGGGAUGACGUCAAAUCAUCAUGCCCCUUAUGACCUGGGCUACACACGUGCUACAAUGGAUGGUACAACGAGUUGCGAACUCGCGAGAGUAAGCUAAUCUCUUAAAGCCAUUCUCAGUUCGGAUUGUAGGCUGCAACUCGCCUACAUGAAGUCGGAAUCGCUAGUAAUCGCGGAUCAGCAUGCCGCGGUGAAUACGUUCCCGGGCCUUGUACACACCGCCCGUCACACCAUGAGAGUUUGUAACACCCAAAGUCGGUGGGGUAACCUUUUAGGAACCAGCCGCCUAAGGUGGGACAGAUGAUUAAGGGUGAAGUCGUAACAAGGUAGCCGUAG
rnacentral:rRNA from 2 species